rnacentral:rRNA from 1 species
GACGAACGCUGGCGGCGCCCUUAACACAUGCAAGUCGAACGGAAAGGCCCUGCUUUUGUGGGGUGCUCGAGUGGCGAACGGGUGAGUAACACGUGAGUAACCUGCCCUUGACUUUGGGAUAACUUCAGGAAACUGGGGCUAAUACCGGAUAGGAGCUCCUGCUGCAUGGUGGGGGUUGGAAAGUUUCGGCGGUUGGGGAUGGACUCGCGGCUUAUCAGCUUGUUGGUGGGGUAGUGGCUUACCAAGGCUUUGACGGGUAGCCGGCCUGAGAGGGUGACCGGCCACAUUGGGACUGAGAUACGGCCCAGACUCCUACGGGAGGCAGCAGUGGGGAAUAUUGCACAAUGGGCGGAAGCCUGAUGCAGCAACGCCGCGUGCGGGAUGACGGCCUUCGGGUUGUAAACCGCUUUCGCCUGUGACGAAGCGUGAGUGACGGUAAUGGGUAAAGAAGCACCGGCUAACUACGUGCCAGCAGCCGCGGUGAUACGUAGGGUGCGAGCGUUGUCCGGAUUUAUUGGGCGUAAAGGGCUCGUAGGUGGUUGAUCGCGUCGGAAGUGUAAUCUUGGGGCUUAACCCUGAGCGUGCUUUCGAUACGGGUUGACUUGAGGAAGGUAGGGGAGAAUGGAAUUCCUGGUGGAGCGGUGGAAUGCGCAGAUAUCAGGAGGAACACCAGUGGCGAAGGCGGUUCUCUGGGCCUUUCCUGACGCUGAGGAGCGAAAGCGUGGGGAGCGAACAGGCUUAGAUACCCUGGUAGUCCACGCUGUAAACGGUGGGUACUAGGUGUGGGGUCCAUUCCACGGGUUCCGUGCCGUAGCUAACGCUUUAAGUACCCCGCCUGGGGAGUACGGCCGCAAGGCUAAAACUCAAAGGAAUUGACGGGGCCCCGCACAAGCGGCGGAGCAUGCGGAUUAAUUCGAUGCAACGCGUAGAACCUUACCUGGGUUUGACAUGGAUCGGGAGUGCUCAGAGAUGGGUGUGCCUCUUUUGGGGUCGGUUCACAGGUGGUGCAUGGCUGUCGUCAGCUCGUGUCGUGAGAUGUUGGGUUAAGUCCCGCAACGAGCGCAACCCUUGUUCACUGUUGCCAGCACGUUAUGGUGGGGACUCAGUGGAGACCGCCGGGGUCAACUCGGAGGAAGGUGGGGAUGACGUCAAGUCAUCAUGCCCCUUAUGUCCAGGGCUUCACGCAUGCUACAAUGGCUGGUACAGAGAGUGGCGAGCCUGUGAGGGUGAGCGAAUCUCGGAAAGCCGGUCUCAGUUCGGAUUGGGGUCUGCAACUCGACCUCAUGAAGUCGGAGUCGCUAGUAAUCGCAGAUCAGCAACGCUGCGGUGAAUACGUUCCCGGGGCU